ACGAACGCUGGCGGCGUGCUUAACACAUGCAAGUCGAACGGAAAGGCCCUGCUUUUGUGGGGUGCUCGAGUGGCGAACGGGGGAGUAACACGUGAGUAACCUGCCCUUGACUUUGGGAUAACUUCAGGAAACUGGGGCUAAUACCGGAUAGGAGCUCCUGCUGCAUGGUGGGGGUUGGAAAGUUUCGGCGGUUGGGGAUGGACUCGCGGCUUAUCAGCUUGUUGGUGGGGUAGUGGCUUACCAAGGCUUUGACGGGUAGCCGGCCUGAGAGGGUGACCGGCCCCAUUGGGACUGAGAUACGGCCCAGACUCCUACGGGAGGCAACAGUGGGGAAUAUUGCACAAUGGGCGGACGCCUGAUGCAGCAACGCCGCGUGCGGGAUGACGGCCUUCUGGUUGUAAACCGCUUUCGCCUGUGACGAAGCGUGAGUGACGGUACUGGGUAAAGAAGCACCGGCUAACUACGUG
rnacentral:rRNA from 1 species